rnacentral:rRNA from 1 species
UACGUAGGAUGCAAGCGUUGUCCGGAAUUAUUGGGCGUAAAGAGCGCGCAGGCGGUAACUCAAGUCAGAUGUGAAAUAUCCGGGCUUAACCCGGAGGGGUCAUUUGAAACUGAGUAACUAGAGUACAGCAGAGGAUAGCGGAAUUCCCGGUGUAGUGGUGAAAUGCGUAGAUAUCGAGAGGAACACCUGAGGUGAAGACGGGUUGCUGGGCCGACACUGACGCUGAGUGCGCGAAAGCCAGGGGAGCAAACGGG